rnacentral:lncRNA from 1 species
CCAGUGGGAUUUGAUCUAAGUGUUCUGACUCUGAAGUUCAUGAUUCUGUCCACUAGAGACUCCCGGAUUCAGACAAACAGUCCAAGAAAGCAAGCACGGUGAUAAAUUCAUGAAGCAGGACAUGAAGUUGGAAGAACAAAAUGAAAUACCUGAGAUGACAAGCAGCUGAAAUAUUGUGAUAUAUAAUCAUGCUUAUAGCUUCAGUGAAGUCCUUGUAUACUGAACCAGCGUCAUAAUCAGGCUUAUUUAGAAAGCAUUUUGAACUAUGCUAUAGAAGAUCAUAUCAGAAUUCACAUUAUACAGAUGUGUUCACAUCCACGCUGUGGUAUUUUCAUGUAUUUAUAUGUGUGUUAUAAAUACUUGAUUUAUACAUAGACAGACACACAGGCACAGUGUGUCUGUGUGCUUAUGUAUAAAUGUUUAGGCACACAGUAAUAGAGAUAAUUCUAAGUAGGGUGCAGUAUGAAUAAUUUGCUUAAAAUCUGCUAAAUAACCAAAACUUUUUAAUGCCCUAUUGCGGUUAGUGCUUCCAUUCUCCAUGUGGGUAGGACUACAUCGCACUUUUCAACUCUGUGCAGUACUGCAUGGGUGGAAGACAUAUUUAAGGUAAUGUGCUUCCCAAAACAACUGAAUCAAAGCCAUCCCACUACAUUGAGUCCUUUCCCUGGCUCCUUGCAAAGGAGAAUGCAGACUGAAAUAGAUCUCCUUAUGUAAAGGUCCAGGAAAGGAAAAUUGAUUUUUUUCCAUCUUUUUGCACAUUUGUAUCAUGCUCACCUUGUCCCACUGUGACCCCUUUACACUUGUGUUCAGAGUCCAAGCAUUCCAGAAGAGAAUCAGAAUGUCGGGAACCCAGUGUCUCAAAAGUCAGUGGUGAGAAGUCCAAGACCUCACCACAAGGCGAGCGACUCUUAGGAAUUUCCGUGUCUGAGUGGGAAUGCAAAGCAACAACAGUAUAAAAUGCUGUCCUUUGCAAAGAGCCAUGACAAAAGGAUCCCCUGGUCAAGAACAGACUUUUCUUUUUAACCUUUUCUUUUUGCAAAUCUUCUAUAAUGCCAAUGGUUUUAAACUGUAUAUCUAAUUAAAUAAAUGACUCCAUACACACACACCCUUAAUUCUCUUGCUCUCUCUCUCUCUCCCUCUUUCUCUUUUUCUCCCAUUUGAGGAUUUUUGUUUCCAAUGCUGAGUUCGGUUUGACACAUUACAGAAAAUGGGGAAUGGCUGGUGACCCAAUCCUCAAAUGGCUAAUGAAGGUUAAAGCACUUCCUUCACAGUGUGUAAUUGUGGCAUGCAGAGACUCCCAGGUUGUGAUAGCAAAUGUUCUUCUAAAGAAUUAGGGUUGGGAGGGAUUUGUAGUUAAAUAUGACAGCACGUGGAAGGCUAUUUUCUCAUUGUUAGGGCUAGAAUGAAUCACUGCUGCUCAAGUCAAAGGCUCUUGAAUAUUCUCAGUUUUUGCAUUGUGCCCCCUUUUCCUUCUACUUUUAUUUAUGUAUUUAUUUAUGUAUGUAUUUAUUUAUUUAUUCAUUCAUUCACUUACUUAUAUAUUUUUUUGGCUCCAUUCAUCACAAACACAAAGCAAAGCAAAAAAAUAUAUAUAUGUGUGUGUAUAUGUGUUGCAGGCAAAACACUGUGAAAUUCACAACAGCAACCAAGCAACUCUUUUUGCCAUCUUAACAUACGUCUCAGGAGACGAAAUGGAAACACAUGGGGAUGUCAUUCUUUUAGUCUAUGCAUUCUAGGCCAGGUCCGUGUUUGGUUUUUUUUUUUCCCCCUUUGGUCUGUGCAUUAAUGAAAAGGAUCCUGAGUGAAGGUUGGCUGAACGUUCAAUGUAACGGAGCAAGCAUAAUAAAAGCUACUAAUAGCCACAUGUUUGGACUGGAAAAAAAAAUCAGAGAAAAUGAAAUGAAAUGUAUAAAGGCCUACUACAUCUUGCAGCUUGUAUAUCUUACUAUUGCUUUAAUAAUGUAUAAAACAACUGGAAAUGUUUUAAAUAUGAGGUCUUUGAAUUAAAUGUGGAUUUUAAAUAUGUAAUCCCUUGACAAAUGACCAAAUUCUUGUGAAAUAUUGCUCCCUGCAUUCACUGAUCAUUACCUAUCACUUACAAAUCUGCCUAGAGAUGUGGGACACUCUCUGCAUCUGCUUCUGUACAUGGAGAGAUGUUUGUAUAUAUCCAGGCCAUUUACACACACACAUUUCAAUAUCUCUCUGAAGAUAUAUUGCCCUUUAAAUUGUGACCUGGUAUUUGGAACUCUCUUUUUAUUUGCUUUAUUUUCUUUUUAAUGUGACGUCUCUGUGCUGAUACUUACUGGUUCUUGUUUUGCGAUCUGUUUUGAGGUCCAUUGCUUUACUAAGACCCACUGCAUCUUGGCUGAUUUCAAAGUGACACCAGAAUAUCAGUGUUUAAAAAAAAAAAAGUUUUGUUUGUAAAUCAUGUGACCAGCUUCUCUCAACCUGACAUGGAAAGUCUCUUGUACUACAGUGUAUUUAAUAAAAAUGAUGUCUUACAAUAAAUAACAUCCUCCAAAAGAGACACUAAAAGUUACAUGAUGAUUACUUUAAAAAUGUAUAGCAUUUUCACAAGGCAUGUGUGCUCUUUUUACUGUCUAUCUGUCUGGAUUUUAAUAUGGUCACUGCAGAUGCGUACAGGGUUCAUGAGUUGAAGGCAAAAAGAGUAUGUGACCUUUGGAACAAGUUCCCUGGCUGAUCCUUCCAUAACCUGGCACUUUCAACUUCUAUCUCGGAUAACUGGAACAUCACUGUCCAGUAGAACUUUCUGCAAUGGCAUACAUGUUCUAUCUGCACUGUCCAACGUGGCUAGAUGGCAUUUGAAAUGUGGCCAGGGUGACUAAAGAACUGAACUUUACAUUUUACUUCAUUUUAAUUAGUUCACCUGUAAGUAGCCACGCGUGGCUCAUGGCUACCAUGUUGCCCAGCACAGAGGGAGAAGAUGGAAUCACUGUGAUUUCUAGUGGAUCAGACCUAAGAAAUCUGCCAAGAGACAAGUUGUGUAUCAUGGUAUCCCACGGUAGGGGCAUCUUUGAGGAUCAUAAUGGCUCAGGAGCGGUAGCCAAAUUAAAAAUGCCACAUUCUCUUGGCCUCUCAGUUAACCAGUGUUUCCUAAAUCAAAAAGGUGAAGGAAAGCAACAUACAGGUGACUUGUCGGGGGUCUUGUAUCCUGUCUCUGUCUCACCAGCAGGUGGCCCACCCACUCUUCUCCUCAGAAUCUCACCGUUGUGUUUUCCAGUGUCUGACCUCUUCCCCUCUACCUCCUGUGAGAGGAAAGGAGACAUCUGGGCAACAUUCCUGGUGGAGACUUCAGGAACAUAAAGUUUGGCAGUGGAUUAUCCCCAAAUCCGACUCCUCAGGAACUUUGCCUCAUGAAAGCUCCUCUCUCUGGUGCAGCUAAAGUUUUCCUUGAGUUAUAAAAAUAUGACCAGGUUAACACUAUCAGCAAGGACUUGGGGGAUUCAAAGCUACGUAAGGAGGGAAACAACUUGUUCAAAAAUCCAAAUCAGGGAUCCCUGGGUGGUGCAGCGGUUUGGUGCCUGCCUUUGGCCCAGGGCGCGAUCCUGGAGACCCGGGAUCGAAUCCCACGUCGGGCUCCCGGUGCAUGGAGCCUGCCUCUCUCUCUGCCUGUGUCUCUGCCUCUCUCUCUCUCUCUCUGUGAGAUUAUCAUAAAUAAAUAAAAAUUAAAAAAAAAAA